GACGAACGCUGGCGGCGUGCUUAACACAUGCAAGUCGAACGGUGAAGCUCCAGCUUGCUGGAGUGGAUCAGUGGCGAACGGGUGAGUAACACGUGAGCAACCUGCCCCUGACUCUGGAAUAAGCGCUGGAAACGGCGUCUAAUACUGGAUACGAGAAGGGCCCGCAUGGGCACUUUCUGGAAAGUUUUUCGGUUGGGGAUGGGCUCGCGGCCUAUCAGCUUGUUGGUGAGGUAAUGGCUCACCAAUGCGACGACGGGUAGCCGGCCUGAGAGGGCGACCGGCCACACUGGGACUGAGACACGGCCCAGACUCCUACGGGAGGCAGCAGUGGGGAAUAUUGCACAAUGGGCGAAAGCCUGAUGCAGCGACGCCGCGUGAGGGAUGACGGCCUUCGGGUUGUAAACCUCUUUCAGCAGGGAAGAAGCGAAAGUGACGGUACCUGCAGAAGAAGCACCGGCUAACUACGUG
rnacentral:rRNA from 1 species